rnacentral:rRNA from 1 species
GUGUCAGCAGCCGCGGUAAGACGAAGGGGGCAAGCGUUGUUCGGAAUUACUGGGCGUAAAGCGCGUGUAGGUGGUUGUCAUAGUCAGGCGUGAAAGCCUCGAGCUCAACUCGAGAAAUGCGCUUGAUACUGGGCAGCUAGAGGACCGGAGAGGAUAGUGGAAUUCCCAGUGUAGUGGUGAAAUACGUAGAGAUUGGGAAGAACACCAGUGGCGAAGGCGGCUAUCUGGACGGUUUCUGACACUAAGACGCGAAAGCGUGGGGAGCAAACAGGAUUAGAUACCCUGGUAGUCCACGCCGUAAACGAUGGGUGCUAGACGUUGGCGGGCUUGCUCGUCAGUGUCGCAGCUAACGCGUUAAGCACCCCGCCUGGGGAGUACGGCCGCAAGGUUGAA